GAUAGUCCUUGCCCUGCUCAGGGGCUCCAGCUGGGUUUGCCACAUGGCUCCUCUGCACAGAUACAACCACCAUGGAUUAACUGAUAAAGGAUGACUGCACGACUUUUUGAAGUAAAGCUGAUUCUUCAAGCCUCAAGGCAUCCUGGCUCUCAUCCCAAGAGACCAUGGUACUGGCGGUCCUUCAGGGGUUUCCAGUGACCUCUUCUUUAGACAUCAUCUCACUUUGCUUGUUGCACUUUGGGGCUUACCAAGGCACACAGCGAGCUGGAGACACACGGAACGCCUGGC